rfam:Hepatitis C virus isolate EBW9, complete genome
UAAGCUACUGUCCCAGGGAGGGAGGGCCGCCGUGUGCGGCAAAUACCUCUUUAACUGGGCAGUAAAAACC